rnacentral:tRNA from 2 species
CGGGGCGUAGCGCAGCCCGGUAGCGCACUUGACUGGGGGUCAAGGGGUCGCAGGUUCAAAUCCUGCCGUCCCGA